UGAAAAUGGCACUCUGACCCUACAAUAUCCUACUUUUGUGCUAAUCCUUGCAAAAUAAAAUUUGCUUUGAGUUGUAUCAGCUGAAGGUCCAGCUUCAAGAAUUAAAACAUAGGAUCUUCCAUUUCCUCCAACAGAGAGCACCAGACCCUCAUACCUGUCGAGAGUGUAACCCAGAGGAAGAGAGAGCUUUUUUGACAGUUCGAC
rnacentral:misc_RNA from 1 species